rnacentral:snoRNA from 1 species
UGUCUAUGGUUAUAUAUUAUCCAUGCUUCUGAGAGAAAUCCAUGAAGCAUAGAAGGAAAAAAAUGUAGACUUCCUUGAAAAAAUGACA